rnacentral:rRNA from 1 species
GAAAAACAAACCCUCCAAAGAUAAGACCACAUAUCUUUACUAAGAAUAACACUUCAACGUACUAACAGUAACCAGACCCAGUAAAACUGAUUAAUGAACCA